GGGGUAUUAGCUCAGCAGGUAGAGCGGUGCGCUGUUAACGCAAUGGUCGGUGGUUCGAGUCCAUCAUUCCCCG
rnacentral:tRNA from 1 species